AAGGAAGGAAAACAGAGGAGAAGAACUCCCGAAGGGAGUCUUCUUCCUCCAUUCACCGGCUCCUAAUUGGAGUCGGAAACAAGUUCCCUCCGGCCCUAUUUAAGGAGGAGAUCCCUCCUCUCUCCUUUCCACCAAAAAUUCUAAGCUCAAACGGCGGCAAUCGCCGGAAAAAUCCCGCGGAAGACCAUCCCUGUGCCGUCCAAUUUCUCGCCGGAAAAGCUUCGCCGGCGACGGAGGUAAGCCUCCUCCCCUUCCUCUCUUCUCCCUCUUCCUUCCCGUGCCGAUGUGCACGCUCGCCGGCGACCGG
rnacentral:lncRNA from 1 species